GUAAGCUGGCAAGGGGGUUCCGGGUAGGAUUAUAAUCCUACCUGAGGAAGCACCGUUCCCGCGGCCCCAUGACUAUCGUAAGAUAGUAGGGCGAGAGCCCUGGCAACGGCACAGAAACGAUAUCCUCCCUAGUUGAUGAAAAUGAUAUAGAAAAACUAUGGAGGAGACUAGGGAUGGAUUGAAACGGCCGUCCCAUGGGAUCCUUUAGUUGAUGAUGGCCGCGAGAAACUAAAGGAAAGACAAAUCCCCCAUAAACAGAAAACGGGCUAUUGCCAGCAUAC
rnacentral:RNase_P_RNA from 1 species